rnacentral:lncRNA from 1 species
GCCUCGCUCAGGCUGCCGAUCGGCUCGUUCUCUCUGCGUUGGGACCGCGGAGGGCAUUCGCUGUGUGACUCAGGGCAAGUGUGCGCACCUCUCUGAGCCUCCGCGGCCUUCUCUAGCAAAAUGGUGGAGCCGGUACCCGGCUGUAAGGCAAGCUGGGAUGCGCGGAGUAGCGGGUGGAAAGCUGGACUGGAGUUCUCACUCGGCCGCUGGGUGACUUCGGUGCACUAGGGAUAGUAACAGUACCACCUCGUAGGGUUGUAGAAAGACCAAGUGAGUUAAUAUUUGUAAAGUGUUUAGAACAGCGUCUACUGCAUGGAAAGUAGUAUUUAUUUGUUAGAGAGACUCCAGGAGGUCUUGCCCAGGGAUUGACUUCUCCCUUCCCUGUCUCCACCCCCCACAUUCCCGUUUGUGAGCCAAGCCUUGCUUUUGCACCGGCCGGGCUCUCUUGCCUGGAAAUGCAUACCCAUCUCAAACCUGGGCUUUAAAAUCACCUCCUCUGGGACGCCUUCCUCUACUUCUCACAGUUCAGGCCUGUUCUGCCCCACACAGCAGAAAAUGCCCACGAUGCAAUACCAGAGUCUGCAUGGGACCAUUUCAACAACCCUUAGAAGCUGACUCAGCUGUCUCCUGGCCCUGACUUUUCUAAGAUGAGAGGAGCUGGUAGGAACAAUUUGGGAACCCUCAAAGGCUGAGAGUAUCCCACCCACUUCACAGAUGAAGCAAACUGAGGCCCAGAGAAGGGAAAUUACUUGCCCAAGAUCACCCAGCAAGUAAGAAACAGAGCUGGAGAUGAGCUCAGGCCAGCACGGAACCACGCAAACUCCUUCUGUAGGCUUUGUAAAGGAUUGAUGAGAAAAGCAGAUGGUUAAGAGCUCUACAACUUCUGUGAGUUUCUCCACGUUGGUCAGGCUGGCCUCGAACUCCCACCCUCAGGUGAUCCACCUGCCUUGGCCUCCUAAAGUUCUGGGAUUACAGGCAUGAGCCACUGCACCCAACCUGAAUAAUCUAUUAGAGUCUUUAUCUCUAAGAAGAGAAAUACAUCUGAACUAAAGGGUAAAAAAUGGCAUGUUUUAAUUGGUAAGUCUAAAUGCAAAACGAUGACAAUAAAAUUUUAAAGGACUGCUAAAAAAAAAAAAAA